AGCCCUCCUUCCACUCCAAUUCCUUGAUUUUUAACGUACUCCCACUGCUUUAUGACUGGUGCAUUACACAUAACCAGCUCCUGAGAAAGGUAACUGAGGAUGCCAGGAAGAAAGAAGCCAGAUGAUAGCACGUUGCAGAAAGAUCUGGCCACAGCCUGUGCUCAGCUUUUCACAGCUGGUUUCAAAAGAGGAUGAAGUAAGUCAAGAGAAAGCCUGUGCUGGCAAGCGAGGACCAUCCUGGGCAUGGUGAUGGUACAGACAGCUUGUUCCAAAAGACAUCCAAGACCUACAGCCCCUCCCCUUCCAUUUCCAGGUACCUCAAACCCGAUACUCUCUGCCUGGGUGCACUAGAGUGUGUGUAAAGUGAUGUUGUAUCUCUAAUAGUCUUGUAAGAAUUUGAU